rnacentral:tRNA from 1 species
GACCUUGUGGCUCAGGUGGUAGAGCGUGAGUCGUACAAAAGCGUAGGCGGCGUCCAUGCGUGGGUUCCAAUCCCACCGAGGCUA